AAGUUGUAACAAGGUUUUUUAUAGGUAAACCUAUAGAAGGAUUAUUACCUUUUUAGCUAUUUAAUAGCUUAUUUAGGAGCUAUAGUUUCUAUAGUUUUUAACUAUAUCUAUAUUUUUUAUAUACUACAUGUUUCCUUAGUAGGCUUACUUACUAGUUAGACAAACUAAAACUCUUUAUAAUUGUAAUUAGCGUCUAAAUUAUAUAAUAAUUAUAA
rnacentral:misc_RNA from 1 species